GGAUGAACGCUAGCGGCAGGCUUAAUACAUGCAAGUCGAGGGGCAGCGGGAGUAGCAAUACUUGCCGGCGACCGGCGCACGGGUGCGUAACACGUAUACAAUCUGCCUUUUACAGGGGGAUAGCCCGGAGAAAUCCGGAUUAAUACCCCAUAACAGUAGAGUAAACAUUUACUUUAUUUGAAAGCUCCGGCGGUAAGAGAUGGGUAUGCGGCUGAUUAGCUAGUUGGUAGUGUAACGGACUACCAAGGCUACGAUCAGUAGGGGAUCUGAGAGGACUAACCCCACACUGGUACUGAGACACGGACCAGACUCCUACGGGAGGCAGCAGUAA
rnacentral:rRNA from 1 species